rnacentral:rRNA from 1 species
UGCUUCAGACACGUGGACAACCUACCCUCCGGACGGGUAUAAACCCGGGAAACUGGGUAUAAUCCCCGAUAGAUCUCGGUCGCUGGAAAGCCCCGAGAUCGAAAGCUCCGGCGCCAGAGGAUGGGUCUGCGGCCUAUCAGGUAGUAGUGGGUGUAGCGUACCUACUAGCCUACGACGGGUACGGGUUGUGAGAGCAAGAGCCCGGAGAUGGAUUCUGAGACACGAAUCCAGGCCCUACGGGGUGCAGCAGGCGCGAAAACUUUACAAUGCCGGCAACGGCGAUAAGGGGACCUCGAGUGCCAGGUUACAAAUCUGGCUGUCGUGAUGCCUAAAAAGCAUUGCAUAGCAAGGGCCGGGCAAGACCGGUGCCAGCAGCCGCGGUAAAUACGAUA